rnacentral:rRNA from 1 species
GACGAACGCUGGCGGCGUGCUUAACACAUGCAAGUCGAACGGAAAGGCCCUGCUUUUGUGGGGUGCUCGAGUGGCGAACGGGUGAGUAACACGUGAGUAACCUGCCCUUGACUUUGGGAUAACUUCAGGAAACUGGGGCUAAUACCGGAUAGGAGCUCCUGCUGCAUGGUGGGGGUUGGAAAGUUUCGGCGGUUGGGGAUGGACUCGCGGCUUAUCAGCUUGUUGGUGGGGUAGUGGCUUACCAAGGCUUUGACGGGUAGCCGGCCUGAGAGGGUGACCGGCCACAUGGGGACUGAGAUACGGACCAGACUCCUACGGGAGGCAGCGGUGGGAAAUAUUGCACAAUGGGCGGAAGCCUGAUGCAGCAACGCCGCGUGCGGGAUGACGGCCUUCGGGUUGUAAACCGCUUUCGCCUGUGACGAAGCGGGAGUGACGGUAAUGGGUAAAGAAGCACCGGCUAACUACGUG